AAAGAAUUAGUUAAAACAUAAUCUGAGUUUGUCAAGCUCGUGUUGCCUGUAAGAAGGUAUUCUUUU
rnacentral:tRNA from 1 species